UAGGGAGCAAGCGUUGUCCGGAUUUACUGGGUGUAAAGGGUGCGUAGGCGGUUCUGCAAGUCAGUUGUGAAAACUAUGGGCUUAACCCAUAGCCUGCAAUUGAAACUGUGGGACUUGAGUGAAGUAGAGGUAGGUGGAAUUCCCGGUGUAGCGGUGAAAUGCGUAGAGAUCGGGAGGAACACCAGUGGCGAAGGCGGCCUACUGGGCUUUAACUGACGCUGAAGCACGAAAGCAUGGGUAGCAAACAGGA
rnacentral:rRNA from 1 species